UACGUAGGGUGCAAGCGUUAAUCGGAAUUACUGGGCGUAAAGCGUGCGCAGGCGGUUCGUUAUGUCCGAUGUGAAAGCCCCGAGCUCAACUUGGGAAUGGCAUUGGAAACUGGCGGGCUGGAGUGUGGCAGAGGGGGGUGGAAUUCCACGUGUAGCAGUGAAAUGCGUAGAGAUGUGGAGGAACACCAGUGGCGAAGGCGGCGAUCUGGGAAGAUACUGACGCUGAGGUGCGAAAGCGUGGGGAGCAAACAGG
rnacentral:rRNA from 1 species